rnacentral:lncRNA from 1 species
CAUUUGCAGGCAGUCUGCAUGCGUGGGAGUCUCCAUCACUCACAAGGUCACGGAAUCAGGAGAAAAAGGGACCAGAGCCGUGUGUGCCCGCUCCAGCUUCCCUACCCUCGCUUCUCGUCAGUGUUCUUUCCUCUCUUCUGGUCACAGAGUGCCACCAACUGUCCCCCUGAUGGCUUCCUGGAUUUCUGUGAACUGAUCUAAGCCUCACUUUCACUUUGUUCUACGGAGGGCUUUUUCAGUCGAUCUCCUCUGAUUCUUCCCUGCUCACCUCCUCACCAGAAAAAAACAUAAGUGACGGGAAGAAAAUAAGAUUCUAAAUCACUGGAACAUCUUAUUAAUGGAGAAGGCACAGACUUAAAUCUGCAUAACAAACCUUACCUUUGUUUGUCCUUUUUCUGGUCAUCUCAACAUCCUUUUUUUCUUUGCUUCAGUUGAAGAUGGUAUUUAGGCCUGAAUUCAAAGCCAUUACUUUCAGAUUUAUUCAUUUUCCAAUUAUCUCC